ACGGGUGAGUAACGCGUGGGAACGUGCCUUCCGGUUCGGAAUAACCCUGGGAAACUGGGGCUAAUACCGGAUACGCCCUUAUGGGGAAAGGUUUACUGCCGGAAGAUCGGCCCGCGUCUGAUUAGCUAGUUGGUGGGGUAACGGCCUACCAAGGCGACGAUCAGUAGCUGGUCUGAGAGGAUGAUCAGCCACACUGGGACCGAGACACGGCCCAGACUCCUACGGGAGGCAGCAGUGGGGAAUAUUGGACAAUGGGCGCAAGCCUGAUCCAGCCAUGCCGCGUGAGUGAUGAAGGCCUUAGGGUUGUAAAGCUCUUUUAUCCGGGACGAUAAUGACGGUACCGGAGGAAUAAGCCCCGGCUAACUUCGUGCCAGCAGCCGCGGUAAUACGAAGGGGGCUAGCGUUGCUCGGAAUCACUGGGCGUAAAGGGCGCGUAGGCGGCGUUUUAAGUCGGGGGUGAAAGCCUGUGGCUCAACCACAGAAUGGCCUUCGAUACUGGGACGCUUGAGUAUGGUAGAGGUUGGUGGAACUGCGAGUGUAGAGGUGAAAUUCGUAGA
rnacentral:rRNA from 1 species